rnacentral:rRNA from 1 species
AGUGAACGCUGGCGGUAGGCCUAACACAUGCAAGUCGAACGGCAGCACAGGAGAGCUUGCUCUCUGGGUGGCGAGUGGCGGACGGGUGAGGAAUACAUCGGAAUCUACUUUUUCGUGGGGGAUAACGUAGGGAAACUUACGCUAAUACCGCAUACGACCUACGGGUGAAAGCAGGGGCUCUUCGGACCUUGCGCGAGUGAAUGGGCCGAUGUCGGAUUAGCUAGUUGGCGGGGUAAAGGCCCACCAAGGCGACGAUCCGUAGCUGGUCUGAGAGGAUGAUCAGCCACACUGGAACUGAGACACGGUCCAGACUCCUACGGGAGGCAGCAGUGGGGAAUAUUGGACAAUGGGCGCAAGCCUGAUCCAGCCAUACCGCGUGGGUGAAGAAGGCCUUCGGGUUGUAAAGCCCUUUUGUUGGGAAAGAAAUCCAGCUGGCUAAUACCCGGUUGGGAUGACGGUACCCAAAGAAUAAGCACCGGCUAACUUCGUGCCAGCCGCCGCAGUAAGAC